rnacentral:rRNA from 1 species
CGAACGGGUGAGUAACACGUGGGCAACCUGCCCAAAAGAGGGGGAUAACACCUUGGAAACAGGUGCUAAUACCGACAUAACCAUAGUUACCGCAUGGUAACUAUGUAAAAGGUGGCUAGUGCUACCGCUUUUGGAUGGGCCCGCGGCGCAUUAGCUAGUUGGUGGGGUAAAGGCUUACCAAGGCAAUGAUGCGUAGCCGAACGUGAGAGGUUGAUCCGGCCACAUUGGGACUGAGACACGGCCCAGACUCCUACGGGAGGCAGCAG